rnacentral:lncRNA from 1 species
UGCGCGGCGUCCGACGGGCUCAGUGAGAAGAACAUGAACUCACAGCCACCGAGGCCUGACGGGUUCCUGCAGUGAGAGCUCAGCGCUUGUCUGCAGAGAGCUGUAUUCUGGAGAUAUUACAAGGUGCUGCCCGUGCCACCAGAGCUGCCUAUGAGCUGACAGAGGAUCGCAGCCUCCUGACGUGGGUCCUGCCAAGCUUGGAGAAAAGGUUUCUGGAGAACCAGGAGUCAAGAGAGAAAAUAAGAAUCAAUCCCAGGAUCUAAUGGAGAUCUGGCCAAGCUGAGUGGGUUGUUCAGCACCCUCAGCUCUGUGCUGCAAUACUUCAGGCCCUGGCUCAGAAGGACCAAAACAAAGAAUUGCUCAAAAAUAUUAAAGACAAGAACAAACCCCAAGCCUCAUCUCGUGUGUAUCGUCACACUCGGAAAAAGAACGGGAUGGGAGAAGAUGAUGCUGCUGCAGACGUGGAAGUGCCUGAGCUGGAGAAAUGCAGAGAACAUCUGAAUUCCAUCCUUGCCCACUGGGACCCUGUUUGUCCACACAGGGAGGGGAGACCCUCAGCGCCGGUGGAAUGGUGGAAGAGGAUGCGGACAAGACAGCUGUGUCUGUAUUCCUGACUUCCGUUUACCUUGGAGACAUGUGCCUUGGAACACAGGAGCUGGAUGUGUUACUUACCCGUGUCAGAUUGGUCUGCACUAGUGCAGAUUAUGAGUUACAGGGUGACUCAGACACUCAGAAACAAGGGGAAGAAGCUGUUAUGUCUCUUUGCAAGAAAUUUGGCUCCAUCAGGGCAUUAAUUCAGGGGACUAACACUUCACCUUUAACAUUCUUCUCUGCUCCAUCAGCAUCACUGUGAGAGCCUCCUGAGCUGUUCUCAUAUAGACCUACCUUGUUUGGUCAGAAAAACCAGUAUUUUAUUACUGGGUGCAAACUCGGGGAAGAUUUGAUUCAACAUCUCUCAGUGGGACAUUAAAGCUCCAAUUUCCCUUUUCUUGAACAGUUUGAGAGACAAUACGUAAUGUAAUUACAAUUGUGUAAUUUUUAUUACAGGCAUUUUUAUCUUUUCGAAGAACCAAAAAGACUGUUUGUGCAUGUGUCUCAGCAGCAGGCCCAGCACAGGCAGGCAGGUUUGGAAUUUUCUUUGCUGUGCUGCAGGUGUAUUCAAGACAUGGUUCCUCUUUGUUUGACAGAAGGAAGACAAAAAAAAAUAAUUCUUAGCAAAAGAGGAUGUUUUCUUUCCUGUCUAUCAAGCAGCCAAACACCACCAGCUAGCUAUCCAUAUUUUAAAAUCAGCUGGAGAACUUGCAUCCCAGGGACCUGGGGAGUGUCUGAAGAGAGCUCUGGCCAGCUCUGUUAGCUGUUAAGCAACCUGGAACAGCAGAGAGGAGGCUGGAAGAGUUCCAGUGCCCCAGUACCCAGAGACCCACCUGGUCAGGGCAGGUCACUCUUAGGCAGUGCUGCGACUGACCUGGGCCCAGGCAAAAUCACAGAACUGGAGCUGAGAUAAGACACAACUGAAAAAGUCUUUCAAAGGACAGGGAAGCUAAUUCCCGA